AGCGCCUGACUGCUGUGCUGCAUUCUCUGCCCGACCAUAGACACUGUGACUUGUCGAAAAUUUGAAUGAGUGGAGUUCAAAAACCUGUGCUUUCUGGGGGACCCGGGAAACGGCCUGGAUCAGAGGAAGAUGAAGGGAGCCGGCACUAAAAGAGGAAGUAGAGGAACCACACAGGGACCACACAGCUGGAAAUGAACCCAGGCCUUCAGAGCCAAACAACCUCGUGUCUCCAAUGGCUCCGACGUUAUCUGUCUCUGGGCUCCAGCACACUUCCUGACUAGCUGUUUGUGUGACCUGGUGACCUCAUGAUUUACUGCCAGGGGAUCCCUGGGCCUCUGCUACUCCAGCCACCCUCUUCCCUGUUCCUGUCUUUGCCCCAGAAGAGAAUGGUGAGCCCACCGUGGACUACGUUUUGCCAGCUGGGACGGCCCGGUCUUUCCUACCGGACCGCCAACUACUGCGUGCCCUGCGUCUGGGCUCCUUCAGAGAACAGUUGCUUUAAGACAGAGCUCAGUCUUUUCAGAAGCUGAGACGGGCCCACAGGGACAGAACUCUGCCCGCUUGCCUGGUCCCCGCGGAGAUGCGGGCUUGACCUCAGUCACGGGCCUCUCCCUUGACAGACCCAGGACACCAGGUCCCUCCGGAGUCAUCGUCGGCAAACAGAUCCUGCACUGAUGAUGACAAAGGAGACACCGUGUGCCUUAAUAACUCUCAGUGUGAUACAGAGAUAGAUACACGUUUAUGCCAUACACAGCUCUAUAGCCAGAUCUAUCCAAAGCCAGAAGGACACCUAAUUAUGUCCCUAAAACUAUGUGACCAACAGAAAGUGGCAUCAAAGACUCCUACUGUCCUGUUUUGGACCAGGGCCUAGGCCUAGGCUUCCAGUCCUCCCAAAGUCAGUCACAGGCUUCUUUCCUGAGCCCACACCUUCCACCCAUGACAGCCCCUCCCAGUUCAUCCAUGCUGCCCCCUCUUACCUUCUACACAUUGCCUAGAAGCCUAUAUGGACGGGCCUCACUCACCCACCUCACCCCUCACCAGCUUCCUACUUCCACCAUCCCUGGCCCUGACGGCCGUCCCCGACCUCCUUCCCUCCCUGUGGGCUCCCUCCUCAGUCCUGGGGUAAGAACAGCAUUAUCGCCAGUCCUCAGGGAGGACAGUCAUGCCACAUGACACCGCCCUUGUUCCAUGUGUCCACCCAUCGCUAGAAGAUGCUCUACCUCAGUAUGGGCGGCUUCCUCUCAGUGUGCGGGAUCUGGAAGGAGAGAAGGACCUCACACAGAAUGUUCUAUGUGGAGGGAAGAUUAGGGAGUUUCCAGACAGUCAGAGCAGAGGGCCACCUCUGGCCUCUGCUGGGAAGGGCCCACUGUUUCUUCUGAGGCUAAGGUACAAUUAGGAGGGGUCCCUCCUGACCAUCUGGCAGCAGCCUUCCCCCCAAGCUGGACAUAGCUAAGCAAGCUCCUGCUAACAGCUCGGAUAGGAAUGGAGGCUCCUGGGAAGUGGCAGGCAAGCCCCCUCCCCUCUCGCUCUGGAAAACACCAUGAAGAGAUGACAAGUUCAUCUGCCCUGGGCAGCUGUGGACCUGUAUGCGAGGUCAGAUAUGAUAAGCUCCCACUGAUGUCCUGCUUCCCGGAGGUGGAUCCGAGUCCCAAGUGGACCCAGAUAACUCCAGCAGGGCAACAGCGACCAUCCUCCAGGAACUGGGAAAACUGGGCAGGGACCUCCGUGGAGUGGGAAGGGUUUCCUGAUUCUGAGGCCUCUGGGUGUCUUAUCAGGCAGAAAGUGUGGGAAGCCCUCACCCAGCUCCACUCACUCAGCCUUGGAAGGGCGGGUGGGCUAUGAGCUCAGGGGCUGCCCACUCGGGAAGCAACCGUAUAGAGGACAUGGAGGGCACCACAGGUGCCAGUGGGAAUGCCUGGCAGUCUGUCUGUGUUUCCAACACGGUGCAUGAAGACAGUAUUGGGCCUGGAACCCACAUCAGUACACGGCCACAGGGAGACAUGCACUGAGAUUUACAACCAUAGACUCACAGACAUGACCUCGCACCCAAGGACACGGUGCCCCACACUACCUGUGUCUCGUGGAGUGGGUGUCUUUCACACACAGUGCGGGAAUGCUGCCACCAUAAUAACAGCAGCCGCCAUAAUGAUAGCUAAUAUUGGAAUAAGAUACUGUUCAUAGCACAUGUGUUUAAUCCCCUCAGCAACUCCGUGAAGAACGGCAGUCAUAUCAUUAUCCCCAUUUUACAGAUGAGGAAAUCGAGGCUGAAGGAAGUUGCACAGUGGAGUUGGGACUCACAAGUAGGAAGCCUGCUCGCAGGAUGAGAGCUACGAAACAUGCGGCCACCACUCAAAGACACAGAGCCACCGGGUAGAGCUCCUGGGAGCGGCUCACGCUUCGUCGCCUGCAGCUCGGGACCCCCAGGCACUGCAUGGUGUCCUCCCAAGAGAGAGUGUUAGACUAGCAAAUAAGGCUGGAAGGUUGGAGAGGCAGAGCCCACAGAGGCUGGCCGUGGUCACCGUCUGGGACGCGACGUGGAGGACUCACAGCCAGGAAGCACCCUGGAGAGAGAGGCGGAGCCCAGGAGAGGGAGCUUCUGCACGGGAAAGGCGGAGCCCAGGAUGGAAGGGAGAAACUUCGACUUGGGAGGGUGUGUAAGGGUGGGGACUGGGCGUCCGUGUGGCCGGGAACUCCCCUGCCAGCUCUGCAAGAUCGUCCAGGCACCAGUGCAGACACUAAGUAAGCUGCACUGCAGAGGGAAUCCUGGUGCCUGCAGAGUUUAACAGCGAUGCGGAGAUGGUCAGGCGAGCGAGCCGGAGCUAGUCAAUCGAGCCGGCCAAAUCUCUUACCCUUAGUUCCGCAACUGAUUUGUUAUGACUAGGCAUGCUGCAGGCUCUCUGGCUUUCUUCUUGGUUUCCCAUUUAAUCAGGGAAAUCCCCAAAGUAACAGAUGCAAAUAGAAUUCUUUAUGUUGUUUUUUGUUUGUUUCUUUUAUUUUGGUUUGGUUUGUUGUUGUUGUUGUCUAGGAUUUUUCAAGGCAGGGUUUCUCUGUGUAGCCCUGACUGUCCUGGAACUCACUCUGUAGACCACGCUGGCCUUAAAUUCAGAGAUCUGCCUGCCUCUGCCUCUGCCUCCAGAGUGCUGGGAUUAAAAGCGUGUCCCGCCACUGCCCGGCACAAACACAGUUUUUUUGUUUUGUUUUGUUUUGAGACAGGGUUUCUCUGUAGCUUUGGCGCCUGUCCUGGAACUAUUUCUUGUAGACCAGGCUGGCCUCGAACUCACAGAGAUCCGCCUGCCUCUGCCUCCAGGCUGGGAUUAAAGGCGUGUGCCACCACUACCCGGCUACAAACUCAGUUCUUAAAAAGGAAAAAAUAAUGCUGACCUCAAAAGGCGUCCACGGGCUUGCCUAGAAUAAAUUAGAAAGACUGCAAACUGUGUGCCGAACUGUGCGGCCAGAGUGCUCGGGAACACUGGAGCCUUUCAUGUGUACAACUUCCCUUUCAUUCACUCUGCAAUUACUGAGUCCCUGCUGCAGGAGGGUCAGGGCACCACCCAGAGGCCUGACUCAGCCCUGCUUUUCCCUCCUCCAUCCUGAAGAGUUCCCCACAGGGUUCACUGCAGCAGCUGCAGCAGUAGCAGUGAGUCAUAGGCACAGCCAGUUUGGGGCACAGAGAAGCACAGGAAAAACAAAAACCCUGAAGCACAGAGCGAGUGGGUUGUCUACGGUCACACCGAAGAAUGAAUAUUGAGCAAGGCACGUUAAUGCCGACGAACUGAACUGUGGACACAGGAGAGCUUUGAAUUUGGAGUGGGGAUGAGUAGAAUACUGGCUAGCCUACCCAGAUUGUAAAGAAACCACAUGGGGGCUCUUAACCAGAACAGCGACCCCCUGGGACCGAUGUGGUCACAUCUCAAUAUGCUGUGUUUUCUUUGAA